GGAAACGACUGCUAAUACCGGAUGUGCCGAGAGGCGAAAGAUUUAUUGCCUGAAGAUGAGCUCGCGUCUGAUUAGCUAGUUGGUGGGGUAAGAGCUUACCAAGGCGACGAUCAGUAGCUGGUUUGAGAGGAUGAUCAGCCACACUGGGACUGAGACACGGCCCAGACUCCUACGGGAGGCAGCAGUGGGGAAUUUUCCGCAAUGGGCGAAAGCCUGACGGAGCAAUACCGCGUGAGGGAGGAAGGCUCUUGGGUCGUAAACCUCUUUUCUCAAGGAAGAAGUUUUGACGGUACUUGAGGAAUAAGCAUCGGCUAACUCCGUGCCAGCAGCCGCGGUAAUACGGAGGAUGCAAGCGUUAUCCGGAAUGAUUGGGCGUAAAGGGUCCGCAGGUGGAACUGAAAGUCUGCUGUUAAAGAAUUUGGCUCAACCAGAUAAAAGCAGUGGAAACUACAGAACUAGAGUAUGGUAGGGGUAGAAGGAAUUCCUAGUGUAGCGGUGAAAUGCGUAGAGAUUAGGAAGAACACCGGUGGCGAAAGCGUUCUACUAGACCAAGACCGACACUGAGGGACGAAAGCUAGGGGAGCGAAUGGGAUUAGAUACCC
rnacentral:rRNA from 1 species